CCCCUAGAUGUUCUGGGCCGCACGCGCGCUACACUGAACAGUUCAACAAGUCUUAACCUUGGCCGAUAGGUCUGGGUAAUCUUUGAACGCUGUUCGUGAUUGGGAUAGACCUUUGCAAUUAUGGGUCUUCAACGAGGAAUUCCUAGUAAACGCAAGUCAUCAGCUUGCAUUGAUUACGUCCCUGCCCUUUGUACACACCGCCCGUCUCACCUACCGAUUGAAUGGUCCGGUGAAAUCUCGGGACGGCGGCUUGGUCGCUUGCGUCCGACUGCUGAAACUUGAUUAAACCAUAUCAUUUAGAGGAAGGUGAAGUCGUAACA
rnacentral:rRNA from 1 species